UGGGGAAUCUUGCACAAUGGGGGCAACCCUGAUGCAGCGACGCCGCGUGAGCGAUGAAGCCCUUCGGGGCGUAAAGCUCUUUCGACCGGAACGAUAAUGACGGUACCGGGAGAAGAAGCUGCGGCUAACUACGUGCCAGCAGCCGCGGUAAUACGUAGGCAGCAAGCGUUGUUCGGAGUUACUGGGCGUAAAGAGUGCGUAGGCGGUUUUCUAAGUUCGGUGUGAAAUCUCCCGGCUUAACUGGGAGGGUGCGCCGAAGACUGGGACGCUGGAGUGUGGGAAAGGCAGGCGGAAUUCCUGGUGUAGCGGUGAAAUGCGUAGAUAUCAGGAGGAACACCGGCGGUGUAGACGGCUUGCUAGACCAUAACUGACGCUGGGGCACGAAAGCGUGGGUAGCAAACA
rnacentral:rRNA from 1 species